GGAUGCUUCUUUCAACCGUUCCAUUGAGAAAACCCAAAAUCCUCCAUUGCAUCGCACCUGUUUACGCCGAUUCAGAAAUCGCAUCCAUUGCAUCUUAUAUACAUACAGCUAGAUGGCGAGAAGGUCGAUGAUCAUAACCGGUAUUGUGCCGGUAGUGGGAAUGCUAUUUGUCAGGUCUGGGCUUGCUGCCAGGCUUGCCUGAGUUAAGUAAAGCCGGAUGGCGAGAAGGUCGAUGAUCAUAGACGGUGUUGUGCUGGUACUAAAUACCCACUUCUUUAUACCAGGUUGAAGGAAUUGUGAAGAAUUUGACAAUGACUGGAGAUCAUGAUAAGAUUACUGCUGUGAUUAAUUUAUUGACUCACGAAUAUACUUACUCGCCUCAAGCGAAUCUGCGCAAGGGAUGGUUGACUGGCUUAGAUGCAACUACUGUUGGUUUGAGUUCUGAAGCUCACAACAUCUCAAGGGGAACUGGUCGGGUAUUUUCUGAAGAAUAGUGCAAAUCAGCUCAAUACAUAUGGGUAUGUUUUGCUUAUUAGGUUAUUUGACACUUUGCGUAUCAUUUGAUUAAUACUUUCAGUUUUUGAACUCGGGUUGUUCAUGAGUUGAGCUCGAUUCAGGUAAAGGUGAGCUUAAGCUUGGUUCUGGGGGUUGGGUAACGAGUUGACAUAUGUUUGUGUCAAACUCAAUACGGGGCUAGCUUGGUCGAUCGACAUAGCUACAAAUAAAUAUCGGAUUAUAAAUAAUCCAAGUGGUUAAAUAACACGAUUUGUGAGUUGUGUUUAGGUUAUAAUAUGUUUUGAAUGGUUUUUCUGUUAGGGACUUAGUUUGGGCCUCUUUAUGGGUGUCAACACAUGCAUUUGAAAGUUGAAAGCAAUGACCAAUUAAGUGUAUGUUUGACUCGUUUUCUCUAAGUACACACCGGCUAUAGAUAUGUGGAGUAUUGGUUGUAUUUUUGCGGAACUUUUAACCGGAAAGCCACUUUUUUCGGGGGAAAAUGUGGUGUAUUAGUUGGACCUCAUGACCGAUCUUUUGGGGACCCCAUUACCUGAAGCGAUAGCCAGGAUAAGAAAUGAGAACAACCGGAGAUACUUAAGCAGCAUGAGGAAGAAAAAACCGAUCCCUUUUUCACAGAAGUUUCCGAAUGCAGUUCCUCUUGCUCUUCGUUUACUAGAAAGAAUGCUUGCGUUUGAGCCUAAAGAUCGUCCUACUGCUGAGGAGGUCCGGUGGAUAAUUCAAAUAAGCUCCCAAAGUGGAAUUAUGAUGGGUCUAGCACAGGGCAAGUCUCUGGGAAAGCAAUGAAGUUGUUUUAUGGGCAUUACAGUUAUCGAGUGUAAAAGAGAAGGGUAUGUAUUUUCAGACAAUUAUUCAAAGUGACUUCAAACGGUUGGCACUGAUCCUGAAGCAAUGCUUUUCAACUUUGUACCAAUUACUUAUCUUCUUAGUGGGGUCCAUGGAAGUGGUUGUGACGUUGUAAGUUUUUCAAACAUAAUAAUUUUUGUAGCUCGACUUUAUGGUGACAGGACCUUUUUUUCUCUCAAUCGUGCACACAAGCCUGGUGUAGAAGACUUGCAAUAUUUCUUGGAGUUUCAAGUUCCUUUACAGUGGGCCAUAUGAUUUUGUGACUCGACUCUUAGGCAUCAAAGAAAGAAAACCUCAUGCUCUCGGCUUCAGUUUAUUUUUUUGGGUCCCAAGAUGUACGUCAGCACGACCCAGGUAUGUUCUAUGCAAGUGGCUUAAUUGUUUUCUAUGACAAAAAUAAAUUGAUGCAGUUGAUCUUCUUGACCUCAUGUUGGGUCAUUUGGAAAGCACGAAAUGACACAAUAUUUGCCGGGAGAAGAGCCAACGUAGACAUGAUGUUUGGAGAGCUUCAAACCUUGAGCUUCUUAUGGAUCAAGCAUUGUUCUAGGGACUGCGGUUUGACAUGGAAAAAGUGGGUGUCUUUUAGUUUUUUCCUAAUAUGUAAAACAGUAUGUAUUUUGGUUUUUGCUUGGGGUGAGCCUUUGCUCUGUACAAGUAACUUGCUGGUACUUUGCAAAUUGUGUAUUCCUA